UGGCGGCGUGCCUAACACAUGCAAGUCGAACGAGAAAGUGGAGCAAUCCAUGAGUAAAGUGGCGACCGGGUGAGUAACACGUGACUAACCUACCUCCGAGUGGGGAAUAACUCCGGGAAACCGGGGCUAAUACCGCAUAACAUCGCAAGAUCAAAGCAGCAAUGCGCUUGGAGAGGGGGUCGCGGCUGAUUAGCUCGUUGGCGGGGUAACGGCCCACCAAGGCGAAGAUCGGUAUCCGGCCUGAGAGGGCGCACGGACACACUGGAACUGAAACACGGUCCAGACUCCUACGGGAGGCAGCAGUGGGGAAUUUUGCGCAAUGGGGGAAACCCUGACGCAGCAACGCCGCGUGGAGGAUGAAGCCCUUUGGGGCGUAAACUCCUUUCGACUCGGACGAUAAUGACGGUACGAGCGGAAGAAGCACCAGCUAACUCUGUGCCAGCAGCCGCGGUAAUACAGAGGGUGCGAGCGUUGUUCGGAAUUAUUGGGCGUAAAGGGCGCGUANGCGGUGCGGUAAGUCACCUGUGAAAUCUCCCGGCUUAACUGGGAGCCUGCAGGCGAAACUACCGUGCUG
rnacentral:rRNA from 1 species